UUCUGCUAAUAGAUGAGGUCAUCAUU
rnacentral:sRNA from 1 species